UUUCUAGAGAUAGAUUGGUGCCUUCGGGAACUCAGACACAGGUGCUGCAUGGCUGUCGUCAGCUCGUGUCGUGAGAUGUUGGGUUAAGUCCCGCAACGAGCGCAACCCUUGUCAUUAGUUGCUACAUUUAGUUGGGCACUCUAAUGAGACUGCCGGUGACAAACCGGAGGAAGGUGGGGAUGACGUCAAGUCCUCAUGGCCCUUAUAGGUAGGGCUACACACGUCAUACAAUGGAUGGUACAGAGGGUCGCCAACCCGCGAGGGGGAGCCAAUCCCAUAAAACCAUUCGUAGUCCGGAUCGCAGUCUGCAACUCGACUGCGUGAAGUCGGAAUCGCUAGUAAUCGUGGAUCAGAAUGUCACGGUGAAUACGUUCCCGGGUCUU
rnacentral:rRNA from 1 species